rnacentral:rRNA from 1 species
GGACUACCGGGGUAUCUAAUCCCAUUCGCUACCCUGGCUUUCGUGUGUGAGCGUCAGGUAUGGGCCAGUGCGCUGCCUUCGCCUUUGGUGUUCCCCACGAUAUCAACGGAUUUCACCCCUACACCGUGAGUUCCACGCACCUCUCCCAACCUCUAGUCAUGCCGUUUCGCUCGCGAGCCGUAGGUUGAGCCCACGGAUUUUACGAACGACUAACAUGACCGCCUUGACACCCUUUACGCCCAGUGAUUCCGGAUAAUGCUUGGGGCCUCUGUAUUACCGCGGCUGCUGGCAC